rnacentral:tRNA from 1 species
GCCAAGAUAGCUCAGUCAAUAGAACAUGAGACUCUUAAUCUCUUGGUUGUGAGUUCGAGCCCCACGUUGGGUG